AUUGAACGCUGGCGGCAGGCUUAACACAUGCAAGUCGAGCGGAGUGAUGGUGCUUGCACUAUCACUUAGCGGCGGACGGGUGAGUAAUGCUUAGGAAUCUGCCUAUUAGUGGGGGACAACAUUUCGAAAGGAAUGCUAAUACCGCAUACGUCCUACGGGAGAAAGCAGGGGAUCUUCGGACCUUGCGCUAAUAGAUGAGCCUAAGUCGGAUUAGCUAGUUGGUGGGGUAAAGGCCUACCAAGGCGACGAUCUGUAGCGGGUCUGAGAGGAUGAUCCGCCACACUGGGACUGAGACACGGCCCAGACUCCUACGGGAGGCAGCAGUGGGGAAUAUUGGACAAUGGGCGCAAGCCUGAUCCAGCCAUGCCGCGUGUGUGAAGAAGGCCUUAUGGUUGUAAAGCACUUUAAGCGAGGAGGAGGCUACUUUAGUUAAUACCUAGAGAUAGUGGACGUUACUCGCAGAAUAAGCACCGGCUAACUCUGU
rnacentral:rRNA from 1 species